rnacentral:lncRNA from 1 species
UAUGCUACAGGUGCAGCCCUAAAGAGCAAAAUAAAGUAAAAGCUAGAGAGAAAACAAGGUAAAAUAAACUUCGGAGAAGGAGGGCUCUCUUGAAGUAUGAAUAGAGAGUAACUCUAUGAAAAAACAGAUAAAGAUAUCACAAGUAAAUAAUAAGCCAAUAAUCUUUAUGAAUGCAGAUGUAAAAAUCCUCAACAAAAUGCUAGCCAACUGAAUCCAACAAUAUAAAAAAAGGAUUAUAUACCAUGACCAAAUCAUUUUUAUCCCAGUAAUGGAGAAUUGGCCCAAUAUACGAAAAUCAAUCAAUAUGCUACACUGUUUUAUUUUUUAUUUUAUAUUUUCUCUUUAGGGCCACACCUGUGGCAUAUGGAAGAUCCCAGGCUAGGGGUGGAAUCAGAGCUGCAGCUGUCGGCCUAGGAUUCAGAAUGGUCACAACAAUCUUGCAAAAUAAAGGCAAAGUAGGAGGACUUCCACAUCCUAACUUCAAAAUCUACUACAAAGCUACGGUCAUAAAGACUGUGGGAGUUCGCUGGUGGCUCAGUGGACUGGGGAUCUGGCAUUUUCACUGCUGUGGCAGAGGUUCGAUGCCUGGCCUGGAACUUCCGAAUGCUGUGGGCAUGACCAAACAUAAAUAAAUAAAGACCGUGUCAUACCAGCAUAAGGAAAUACAUAGAGAUCAAUAGAAUGAAGGCUCCAGAAAUAUACAUUAAUGAUCAGUUGAUAUCUGAAAAGAGUGCCAAGGCAAUUCAGUGGGCAUAAAGAAUAGUCUUUUCAACAAACGAUGCUGAGACAACUAGGUAUCUACGAGCAAAAGAACAAUAGUGAAUCUCUACAUCACACCAUAGGCAAGAUUAAUUUGAAAUGGAUAAAGACUUAGAUGUAAGGCCUAAAACUAUAAUGUCUCCAAAGAAAACAUGGGUGUAAGUCUUCACGACCUGGACUAGUAAGACAUGGUCUUAGAUAUGACACCAGGAGCAGUGGCAACCAAAGAAAGAAUAGAUCCACUGGAUUGCAUCAAAACUGAAACUGUUUGUGCUUCACAGCACAUUACUAAGAAAGUGAAAAUACGACCCACAGAAAGGGAGAAAAUAUUUGGAAAUCAUGUAUCUUAUAAGGUCUGCUCUUCAAGAUCUAUAGAGAACUCUUAUAAAUCAAGAACAAUAAGAUAACCCAAGUGAAAAAUGAGCAAAGAAUAUUUACCAAUGUCCAAUAAGCACACGAAGAGAUAUUUAACAUCAUUAGUCAUCAGGGAAAUGCAAAUCAAAACCACAAUGAGUAGCACUUCAAACCCAUGUGAUCGGUAGCUAUCAUAAAAAGACAAAAAUAAAUUGAAAAAAAAGAGAAGAAAACAGAAUCAAAGGGGUGGGGGAGAAGAUAGAUAACGUGUGUUGGCUGAAUGUGAAGAAAUUGGAACACCUCGUGAUUGCUCACAGAAAUAUAAAAUGGCACAGUUACUUUGAAAAAGAGUUUAAUAGUUCCUCAAAAAUACCCUAAACAUAGAGUGAUCAUAAGACCCAGAAGUGCUAUUUCUAGACAUAUACCUAAGAGAUGUGAAAAUGUGUCAUACUAAAGAAUCAUAAAGACUGUUAUUCAUAACAGCCAAAAGAUGAAAACAACCCAACUGCCUGUUAACUGAUUAACAAAAUAUGAUCUAUCCAUACAAUGGAAUAUUUUUCAACCAUAAAAGUCAUGAAGUAAUAGCUGAAAUUUGAAAACAUUAUACUAAGAGAAGGAAGCCAGAUACAAAGGCCACAUGUUAUAGGACUCCAUAUAUGCCAUGUGACCCAGCAAUCCCACUCUUGGGCAUAUAUCCGGACAAAACUUUCCUUGAAAAAGACACAUGCACCCACAUCAACGCAGGAUCUGAGCCGUCUGCGACCUACACCACAGCUCACCACAACGCCGGAUCCUUAACCCACUGAGCAAGGCCAGGGAUCGAACCCGCAAACUCUUAGUUCCUAGUCGGAUUCGUUAACCACUGAGCCACGACGAGAACUCCAUAUAUGAUAUCACUUAUAUCUGGAUUCUAAUAUAUGGCACAAAUGAAUCUUUGCACGGAAAAGAAGAUCAUGGACUUGGAGAAUAGACUUGUGGUUGCCAGGAGGGAUGGGGAGGGAGUGGGAUGGACUGGGAACUUGGGGUUAAUAGAUGCAAACUCUUGCCUUUGGAAUGGAUAAGCAAUGAGAUCCUGCUGUAUAGCACUGGGAACUAUAUCUAGUCACUUAUGAUGGAGCAUGGUAAUGUGACAAAAAAGAAUGUAUACGUGUGUGUGACUGGGUCACCUUGCUGUACAGUAGAAAAUUGACAGAACACUGUAAACCAGCUAUAAUGGAAAACAUUAAAAAAGAGAGAGAGAGAGAAAGAGAAGUGUCCAGACUAAGUAAAUCCAUAGAAACAGAAAGCAACUUAGUGUUUUCCAAAAGCAACCCAGUAGGAGGGGAAAGCAGAGCAAUUGCUAAUGAAUAGAGGGUUUGGGGGGAUGAAAUGUUCCAGAACUAUGUAGUGGUGAUGGUUACACGACCCUGGGAAUAUACUCCAAACCACUUUUAAGGAUAUCUUAAAAGGGCAAAUUUUAUGUUUGUGAAUCAUAUCUCGAUUUUUAAGAAGACUUCAUUAAUAUCUUCAGGCUCUUGACCUCACAAUUUCCUUCCAGUUUACCUUAACUCUGGGUCUCACCGCCUUCCCUGUACAGAUGGGCUAUCUGUGCCUUUGCAGAUAGUGUUUUUUCUGUCUGAAAUAACCUCCCUUUCUCCACCUUGUUUGCAGAGCUAACUCCUACCAUCCUUCUAAAUCGCAGCCACCACUUCCUUCGGAAAGCCUUCCUGAACUCUCCAGAAUUCAUCACUUCCUCCUCUGUGGCAUCUCCAUCCCUCGUACACACUUUCAGUAUUUAUCACACAGCUUUCAUUUCUUUGUCUCUGUCUCCCCCACUACAAUGAGCUCUCCGGGUGUACAAAUUGUGUCUUAAAGAGUGUUGCCUCCUCAGAGCCUAGAACCAUUAGUUGCAAUUCUACAUUCUAUGUCUGUUGAAUUGUAGCUGAAGUUACAACUCUUUAUUUCCUGAGUUUCCCCCAAGGACUUCAAAAGAACUAAAAUAUCUUAGAACCAAAUCUCACUUUUCUGCCACACAAACAUGAUCUUGCUAAGGGACUCUUCUUCCUGGCAGGGCUGGCUCUUGUCCUGUGCCAGCAGGCAUAGACCUCACGGGUGAAGCUUCUUCAGUAAGGGCAGUGACCAAAGAAAAAUUAAUUGCUGCCUUCCCUUUGUGCUUAUGUGAUCCAUUAGAAGGUACGUUCAGAAAGAACACGUGACACUAGAUGACUCUGCAGAGAUGCUGCUACCACUUCUUCUAUUGUCCAACUACCCACAUCAGGACAGUUUGUGUACUGCACAGAAAAGAUUAAUUCUUGUCAAAAUAAAUGAGGGAAGAGAAUGUGCUAACAGGGCUGCAUCCAAGAUAUGACCUUGUUUGUCUGAGACUUCCUCACAGAGAUGAAAAUAGGGCAAAUCUUAAAGCAAUGCCUCACUAGGAAGUAGCAGGCCUCCUGAGACUGUACAGGGAAAGACAAGUGUCACAGACCCUUUAUGUCUGCUGAGCCCACGCCGUUCCCCCCAGCCAUUUUGACCAUUAAAGUACCUAGAAUGCUUUGAACUUCUCAGCAAACAUACAGCUUACACAGCCUUGGAAAUAUACCUAAAAGUGGAUAUUGAGGAUAGAGAGAACAGAUUUCAGGGUUUUUUUUUUUUAGUUUGGUUGUUUGGUUUUUUUCUUUUCUUUUUUAGGAACGCACCCAUGGCAUAUGGAAGUUCCCAGGCUAGGGGUCGAAUCAGAGCUACAACUGCUAGCCUAUACCACAGCCACAGCAAUGCAGGAUCCAAGCCAAAUCUGUAACCUAUGCUGCAGCUCACGGCAACUCUGGAUCCUUAACCCACGGAGUGAGGCUGGGGAUCGAACCUGCAUCCUCAUGGUUCCUAGUUGGGUUCAUUAACCACUGAGCCACAAAGGGAACUCCACAGGUUUCAGUUUUGAAUGGGGGAAAGUCACAGACUCUAUGGAAGGUUAGUAAAAGAACCUCUGAUGAAUAGAUUUGUAUGAGGUGGUAGUAGAGUGUGUGCGUGUGUGUGUGCGUGUGAACUUACACAUGUGAGGAAUCUUAUUUCUUUUGUAAAUUAAGUUUUUCAGUGCUUUUUGGUCUUUAGCGUUUUUUAAAUAAGCAUAAAGGGAUAAAUCAAAUCACCUAAAAAACUACCACUCAGAUGCAACUACUGUUAACAUCUCAACACAUUUAUUUCUAGUCUUCCUUCCAUUAAUUUUUCUUUCUAUAAUUGAAACCUUAAAUGUCUCUGGAUAGCUGGAUUUGUUGCCCUUUUUGCUUCUUUUUUCCACUUUUGCUUGCAAGGAUAGAAGAUUUGCUAAGGUUACCUUAAGUAGUUUCCAUUAGAUAAUGGAAGUUUAUUCAGGUCUGCCAUCAUGAGACCCCAGAAAAGAACAGACGGUCCCGUGGUGUCUAGAAGGUCCCUCUGAAACUUUGGGUCACUCAGGGCCCCGAAGCCACAGCUUUAGCAACCAGGUUACUCAGUCCCCUUUCAUUUAUUAACCCUAUAUGCUUGCGACAGACCUUGUUUUCCAAAAGUGGCUGCAAAAAUAUCUCCAGUUCUACGUCCUCCGCUAGAACCCUGCCAUUCCUCUAACAAGAAGCGGAGUCUAUGAUCCCUCCUUUUGAAAGUGGAAGGCAGCUAUGCCCACCACUAUACCACCACUGCACAAUGGAAGGCAAGGCCAUCUCCUCCUGUUUUAGAAAGUAGAAGGAGGGCACACGAAAAGCGCCCACCCUGAGUGCCGUGACUUGGAUUUGAACCGAGGUUGCUGCAGCCACAACGCAGAGUGCUAAUCACUGUUUGAUCACAGCAUGCCACGGUGCCUGCGUUCCCUUUGACAGUGGUAUGACUGUCCUAACGGCCUGGGCUAACAGUCUGCUGAAAGUCACUCUUUGACUUCUAGGUCUAGGUCAUGAAAAUGCCAUAUACUUCCUCAUACUGUGCGUGAGGAAGUCCACGGAGAGGCCCAUGUGAAGAAGAACCAAGGCCCGCAGCCCACAGCUAGUGGCCAGCCCACAUGUGCCAGCCACACGGGUGAGCCUCUGUUGAGCCCUGUUGAAACCGGAUCUUCUGGCCUCCAGCUGCACUUCCCGAGCUGACUCUUCUCACGGAACAAACACCAACUGUCCUCACUAAGCCCUGCUCACAAAUUGUAGAUUUGUGAACAAGGUUUUCUUUCUUUCUUUUUUUUUUUUUCCUGUUUUAAGGCACUAAGUUUGGGGGCGGUUUGUUACGCAGCAGCAGAUAACUAAUACACUGCUUCCGUAACCACUGUGAUGGAGACACUACCCCUCGUCACCUCUCCUCUGCCUCCAACUGCUUUUCUCUCCCUGGGCCUCAAGUUCAGCCUCUCUGCAUGUCUCCGUUAACCACUGCCUUCCCUGCUGACCAUCCUGCAGAUAAAUUGGCUUCCCCUUGGUCAGAUUUCUGCCCCUGGCCCUGCUGGAAAUAUCACUGGAUAAGAGACCCUUAGAAGGAACCACAGGAAUGGCUAGCAUUCUAAGGCCUAUAAUAGUUUAGGUUCUGCUGGAUAUACAAGUUUAGAUACUAUUUUUUUUUUCUCAUUUAACCUUAUUACAACCAUUUUCCAAUGUUACAAAUACUUUACAAACAUAGUUUUUAAAAAAACUACUUUAUAGAUCACUUUAUAAAGAUACAUCAUAAUCUUUGGAAUGAUUAUCUUAUUGAACAUUUAAGCUGUUUGUAGUAAUUUUCUUUUCUUUCUUAUACGUUUCUGGCUAUUUUAAAUAAUGAUGUGGUGAAUAUCUUUUGAUAUAAAACUUUGUUUCCUUAAGAAAAAUGUUUUCCUAAAAGUGGACAUAGAGUGUCGAAUGGAUGAAAUGUAUUUUGCCAAAUGAUGUUCAGAAAGUCUGUAUCUGUUCCUGCUAAAGGGAUAGAAUAUAGAAUCUAUAUAUAUGUGUAUACACACACACAUAUGUACAUGUAAAAUAUAUAUUGUAUACAAUAUAUAAAAUACAUAUAUUAUAUAGAAAUAUAAAUAUAUCCUAGCCUAACCAGCAGUGAGAAUUAACAUUGUUAAAAAAUAUCAUUGUGCAGAUCCCGUUGUGGCUCAGCAGAAAUGAAUCCGACUAUGAGCUGUGGUGUAGGUCGCAGACGUGGCUCAGAACUGGCAUCACUGUGGCUGUGGCAUAGGCCAGCAGCUGUGGCUCUGAUUAGACCCCUAGCCUGGAAGCCUCCACGUGCCUCGGGUAUGGCCCUAAAAAGCAGAAACAAACAAACAAACAAAAAAACACACACAAAAUCAUUGUUAUUUAAGUGGUUUGAAAAUGUUAAAAGUCUUAUUUCAAUUUGCAUUUCUUUCAUUAAUGAAAUUGAACAUUUUUUUUCCAAUGCGUCUGUACCACUUAUAUUUUCUUUUAAGUGAUUUGUCAGUGUAUAUACACAGAAGCUCUUUUUCUGUGGUCUAGAAACAUUAAUACAGGAGGAAGUUUUAUUUAAACAUAUUUGCUCCCAAAUUUUGUCUUUUCUCAUCUCUCUUCUGCACCCCCCCCCCAUUCAACUCACCAGUAGGGCAGUGGAACUGAGGAAGUGAGAAAAAGAAAUAAAUGAAAUGAAAUGGAAAAAAAAAAAUCCUUACGGGAAUUCCCUUCGUGGCUCAGGAGUUAAUGAACCCGACCAGGAUCCAUGACGAUGUUGGUUCCAUCCCUGGCCUCGCUCAGUAGGUUAAGGAUUCUGCAUUGCAGUGAGCUGUGGUGUAAUUCGCAGACACAGCUCGGAUCCCGAGUUGCUGUUGCUGUGGCUAUGCUAUAGGCCAGCAGCUGUAGCUCUGAUUCAACUCCUAGCCUGGGAAGUUCCAUAUGCUGUGAGUGCAGCCCUAAAAAGCAAAAUAAAAAAUUAAAAAAAAAAAAA